rnacentral:rRNA from 1 species
CCUACGGGAGGCAGCAGUGGGGAAUUUUGGACAAUGGGCGAAAGCCUGAUCCAGCAAUGCCGCGUGAGUGAAGAAGGCCUUCGGGUUGUAAAGCUCUUUUGUCAGGGAAGAAACGGUGAGAGCUAAUAUCUCUUGCUAAUGACGGUACCUGAAGAAUAAGCACCGGCUAACUACGUGCCAGCAGCCGCGGUAAUACGUAGGGUGCAAGCGUUAAUCGGAAUUACUGGGCGUAAAGCGUGCGCAGGCGGUUUUGUAAGUCUGAUGUGAAAUCCCCGGGCUCAACCUGGGAAUUGCAUUGGAGACUGCAAGGCUAGAAUCUGGCAGAGGGGGGUAGAAUUCCACGUGUAGCAGUGAAAUGCGUAGAUAUGUGGAGGAACACCGAUGGCGAAGGCAGCCCCCUGGGUCAAGAUUGACGCUCAUGCACGAAAGCGUGGGGAGCAAACAGGAUUUACGAUACCCUGGUAGUCCCACGCCCUAAACGAUGUCUACUAGUUGUCCGGGUACUUAAUUGACUUGGUAACGCAGCUAACGCGUGAAGUAGACCGCCUUGGGGGAAGUCGGUCGCAAGAUUUAAAACCUAAAUGAAAUUGGNGCGNGAGAGNGACGACGGACGACACGAGGGAGGAGG